AGCUGGAUCUGCUGGCUGCUUCAGGGGUGCAGCGCGGUGCCUUAGCCCUGCAGCGCUGCCGACCGGACUUUUAACGGCCUGGUUGGCAGUGCUGACCGGAGCCGCCAGGGUCCCUUUUCAACCAGGCCACGCCUGGUAACCCUAACCGCGCCCCUCGGCGUAGGUGGGGCCGGGCAGUGUCGCAGCAUAGCACUGCAGCCCUGGUCUGUACAGGGUGGCUUUGGGCCCACUGCUCUUCAUGGCACUGCCCACCUGGGCCUGUCUGUGGAGUCCCGUGACUGACCCACACCCGGGCUGGGCGAGAGGGGGGGCAGUGGCCUGGGACUGUUCGUAGCACCGCCCCCAAGGGCCUGCGUCUCCCGGACACCCUCUGAGCCGAGGAGCCGGUUUAUCCGGGCCAAGGCCCCGCCCAUAGGGGUCACCCCUACGUUCCGGGUACCCCGCUAUGGGGGAGGGGUGACCCCUACGUGCCAGGCCGCCCCGCCCACAGCCCAGUGAGCCUCCCCCUCCCCCCCUUCCGGACCCGAGCUGGUACCCAAUCGUGAGAGCCGAGCUGGCCCGACACUCCGCGCAGAAGCGGCCAAUGGCCGGCUGGGCGGGGCGGGACUGAGGGCAGCAGCCGGGUAGGGUGAGCGGCGGCUGAGGACGGGGUUUGGGUGAGGCGUACAGCGUGCGCGUGUCUAUCUGGGGCCAGGGAGAGAGGCAGGCGGCUCAAGGUGACGUUAUGCCCCCGUGCCGGGCCCGGCGCACGUGGGUGCGAGCGGGCCGGGAAGGGGGGGAGAGGAGGAAGAGGCGGCCGCAGGGAGUAGAACUGACUGGACACAGUUUUACAGCAGUGGUCUCACCAGUGCCAACUACGGAGAGUCACUGCUUCCCAGAAUAGAGACCCCCAUCCUGAUCCGAAAGGACAAACAGAUGAGUUAUGAAAGCAGUAAUACUUGUUCAAUAAACACAAGUCUAUUACUAGCAAACCCGAUAAAAAUUCUGCAAAACUUGUAUUAGCCUGUUCCUACAAAUCCCAUAAUCCCCAGCCACCACCUGUUGGUGCUCCUCACUUCAGCGGGAAGUUUAUUAGCUCACUGUGCCAAUUCUUGUGUUGAAACAGUCCCGUGUCUACACACACACUGAUGGAGGUUGGAAGAAUUCUGCUUUUUAGACAUGGUGUUCCGUCCUCUCUGAAAAGAAAGGCCCCUGACCAUGAAAACUGUGACAAUGAAGAACCAUCCUUGAAAAUGAACUGUGCAAAUGCUUCCUCAAGUAACAUUGUCCUGCAGUCAACCCAAAACCAAACAGGAUAAUGAUCCUUGUGCCAGUAUAUCAAUGGCCACCAACUACACAUCUAAGGAUGUCCUGUGUGCUCUGACAUCACCAGCGGGGGCAGAAGGUUUUGUUCAUGACAGGAAAAACAUCAUCUCCACAGCUUAUUUCAUUGCACAAAGAGGAACAACCAACACAGCCUAAGGUGGAUUUAUAUCCUACAGAUGGUGGACGUUUCAACUGUAGUUGGUUUUCUUUGUACCCCUUUAUUGAAUACUCAGUUGUAGAGGAUUCUGUUUUUUGCUUUCCAUGCCAUCAUUUUGCUACUCAAAGCAAAAUUGGACCAGGAGAACAAUUCAACAACAGAACAUUCAUUGGGCAUAGCUUUAAGAAAUGGAAAGAUUUUCAUAGUUUGUUAAAACAACAUCCAUUCAGUUCCAGGCAUAUGGCAGUUUUCAUUUCAUCGCAAAACUACUUGAAACUUAGGAUCAGCAGUUCAAAAAGGGUUGCAGAUCAACUUGUUUCUAGUUGUCAGGCUCCAUAGCUGAAAAUUGCCAGCAUAUUGAGACACUCUUAGAGGUAUCCAGGCACUGCGUGGUAUUGCUUUUCCAGGGCAUGAUGAAAUACGUAACUCUAGCAAUCAAGGCAAUUUCAUGGAAAUUCUUGAGCUGGUUGCUUCCACUCAGCCCAGCCUUUUGAAUAGAUUCAGAACAAGUAUGGACACUGUGAUCCAGUGUGUCUGGGGCAGCCCUUACUGGAAAUGCCAAGUUCAGGGCAGGCUGCAAAAGGGAGAGCAGAUACUUUCAGGGUAACCCUGAAGUUAAACUCCCCAGCCAGUCACAAAUUGUGCUCCCGAUCCCCCACACUGGUUAUUGAGAAGCUGAAAAAGGAAAUCACACAGCCCUCUUUAUUGCAUUCCAGUUCUCUCGCUCCCAGUCAGCACACAGGUCCAGUACAGUGAGAAACUAUUUAAACUCUGCUCACAUAUACAAAAUGUUCUUCUGACCCCAAAUGGUCAGCCACUUUACCAGGUCAGUAUAGGUUUGGAGCUUACUCAAAAUACCACACUGACAGCCAAUCCUUUAACAUCUAAAACUAAAUGUUUAUUGUAAAGAAAAAAGAACAAGAAGAGAGAUGUUAAAUGGUAAAGCACUCACAUACAUACCAAGAUUCAAAGUUCAUGUAUCAGACUCCUAGCAUUGGUGAGUUUAUUGGCUUGAAAGUCCCUCUGGAACACAUCCACAGCUUGGAUGGGUCAUUCAGUCCUUUGUUCAGAGCUUUGUUUGAAGAAAGGUUACUCCAGAGGUAAGAAGCAGGACUGAAGACAAAAUGGAAAAGAUGCAGUUGCCUUUUAUGGUCUUUUGCCACGUGGCUUGUGCUUCCUUUGUUCCAAACACAAGCUGCCCAGCACAUGGCCUGGAAGCCUUAGAGUUCUAUCCAUAUGCAUGCUGAGUCAUAAGGUGUAGCCCUUGACCCUUUCAGUGGGUUAAUUGUACAGUUGAUGUUCCUUGAUGAGCCAUCAAGCAGGCUAGGCCGUGCUGAUGCCAAACUCUCUGGGGGUGUCACCCAGAAGCAUAGCACAAGUUUGAAAUACAGACAUACGUACAUACCUAUAACUCAUAAUACAAAAGUGAUACAAACAUAUAAACAAGAUUAUUAUACUUGACAAAUUAUAACAUUUUUGCAGAUAUCUUACAUGGCAUAUCUGGCACAACGCAUUGCAAUUUUACAAUAUUGGUGUAAAUAUCCUAAAGUGUCAUAAUAUCCUAAAGUGCCCCCCAAAUUCCAUACAGCGUCACAGACACUGUACCUCUCACCAGUACCAGAAUGAUUUAAUACAUUCUGCAGCAGAACUCCUGAGAGAAAGCAUUGUUGAAGAGGUUGGACAAGCAAGUAUUUUUCAGUCCUUAUUGAUGAAACUAAAGAUGCAAUUAAAAAAAAAAAAAGAACUGUGUCCCCUUUUUUGCUACUAUCGAAAAGGAAUCAUUCAGGAACGAAUUCUGGGCUGCUGCCACAUGGAAAAUCUAAAUGCUGAAUCUGUUUAAAAAUGAUUAUUGAAGAACUACAGCAUUUGAAGCUUGAUAUUAAUUACAUUGUUGCUCAGUGCUAUGAUGGAGCUUCUAUCUGGGUGGGCACUUAACAGGAGUACAAGGUCAAAUUCAGGAAAGGAUUAUGCCUGCUAUUUAUGUGCACUGCCAUGCUCGCAGGCUUAAUCUUGUCAUUGCAGAUACAUAUUCCAGCAUCACCCAGUAUCAGGAAGUCUUUGCAUUUGCCAAGGAAUUGUACAUCUUUUUUAGCAGUGGUUACAAGCACCAUGAACUGUUUAAGGCACAGCAGGAGCUAGGCCAGAAGGUACUUGAGCUAUGUACAGUAUGUGAAACUCGCUGGUCGUACCAGUAUGACUCCCUCUGAAAACUGCAUGUAAGUUACGGCACUGUAGUGGAAACACUGGAAGCCAUUUCAGUUCAGAGAGCUGAUGGACCAUCAGUUAGCUCUGGAAAGGACUUGAUGGUAAGGCUAAGGAGCUAUCCCUUUCUGUUGAAUCUCUUGGUUUUGGAAAGAAUAUUCAAAAUUUUUAAUAGUGCUUUAGAAGAACUGCAGAAUAAAAAAUUGAAUUUAUCAAGUGCCAUGGAAUUAGUAGCAAGCAAUGUUGCUAUUCUUCAAGAAAUAAGAACAUCUGAAAGCAAAUGGAAAGUACUAUGUGAUGAAGAUGAGAUCAUUGCCAAGGAACUUGAAACUGGUAGUUCGGGUCAGGCAGUUGGACCCUAUCAGCACAGCAAUACAAAAAAUGGCAAGAAGACCUAACAAAGUAUCCUUCAAGCUGGCUUAUUUGUUUCUAGUACACUGAGUCAGUCAUUGACACAUGAUGUUCCCAAGAGCACUCAAUCUAUAAAAUCUGAUUUCUACUAUCCUGUUCUGGACAGAAUUCUUGCUGAGCUUGAUAAGAGGAUUCAACUUCAACUCCAGUUUACUUUCUGCACUAACUGCUUGUGACCCAAAAAGUGAAAAUUUUCUUGAUUAUGAGAAAUUGAAAAUAAUUGCAGGAUCAACAGGUACCAUUUUUUGUGAUCUGGAUGCAGAAGUUGAAGUUGCCAAGAAGCACAUUGCACCAAAAAAAUUGACUUCAAUUUCUGAAUUCUGGAAUGUUCUCAGUGACAUACCAAGGGGUUACCAGUCUUUGCUGUCUAGUGUAGAUUUUGUGUUGAGCCUUCCAGUCUCUACAGCAUCACGUGAAAGGUACUUAUCUGUGCUCAAGAAAGUAAAGGACUAUUUAAGAUCCACAAUGGGAGAGGAAUGCUUAAGUGACUUGGUAAUUUUAGUCUGUGAAUGUGAAGCUUCAAAACACCAGGAUAUCAACAAGGCCGUUAACAAUUUUUCCAAGAUGAGACCAUGCCAUUAUCCAUUGUAUUAGCUCAUAUCUGGAGUAGUAUUGAUUGUUUUUUUAAUAAUUUAUUUACCUUUAAACAUUCCUGGAAUAAAUUUAUCUGUCUCAUUCUCAUUACCCCGCUCCUGCCCUGAAGGGCUUAAAACAGCCCUGGGGGAAGGUUGUGGCUGGGAGCUGCUAAGCUGGGCUGAUUGGGAAGCAGCUGCAGCUGGGCCACACCCCAAUCAGGCCUCAGCUGGCCCUAUAUAAAAAGGCUGUGAGCCAGAGGCCAAACAGUCCCUCUCUUUGCCUUCAGAGGGAGAAGGGCUUGGCUGCAGCGAGCUAGAGACCGAGUACCUAUGUGGAGCAGGGCUGGGGACAGGCUGAGGAGUUAGGGAGCUCCAGCCUGGAAAGCCCCAGGCUGCGGCCUAGUAGGAGGCCAAGGGGUACUGGGGAUUGCAGAGGGCAGC